rnacentral:rRNA from 1 species
UACGUAGGGGGCAAGCGUUGUCCGGAUUUAUUGGGCGUAAAGAGCGUGUAGGCGGCCAUUCAGGUCAGCUGUGAAAACUCGAGGCUCAACCUCGAGACGUCGGUUGAAACCGUAUGGCUAGAGUCCGGAAGAGGAGAGUGGAAUUCCCGGUGUAGCGGUGAAAUGCGCAGAUAUCGGGAAGAACACCCGUGGCGAAGGCGGCUCUCUGGGACGGUACUGACGCUGAGACGCGAAAACGUGGGGAGCGAACAGG